CCAACAGAACUACACAGAAGAAAGGUUGAAUGCACAGAUACAGGAGAUUCUUGACAAUGAGGAGGCAAAGGACGCUUUCCGUGUUGCUUCUGUUGAUGAUGGGUAUGGUGACCACUGCGGUUCCUGCAACUACUGCUGAUGCAGCCAUCACUUCAACGGUUGGCCAUUCAUCAGCCACUGUGUGUGCAUUCUCCACUCAACAACAAAAUAGUGGGAGGUGAAAAUGCCCCUGCAGGAAGUUGGCCCUGGCAGGCAAGUCUCAAAAUUCUGACGGCAUGUUUGCGGUGGGUCCCUCGUCAACAAGGUGUGGGUGAUGUCUGCAGCCCACUGCUUCAGCAGCUCAGACCCAAAUGGUUGGAACAUUAGCCUUGGUCGUCAGACCCUGGAGGGAAUUAACCCCAACGAAGUGUCCAGAACUGUGGCUGAGAUCUUAUACAUCCAGAUUACAACGAGUUCACAAAGGACAACGACAUGCUCGCUCAACUCUCCUCCCGGUCAACUUCACAAACUACAUCCGACCCGUCUGUCUGGCAGCAAAUGAUAGUGUUUUCAACAAUGGUCUGAUAGCUGGGUGACCGGCUGGGGUAA